CACGGGGGGAGCAAGCGUUGUUCGGAAUCACUGGGCGUAAAGGGCGUGUAGGCGGGAAGGAAAGUCAGAUGUGAAAGCCCUGGGCUCAACCCAGGAACUGCAUUUGAAACUCCCUUUCUUGAGUGUCGGAGAGGAAAGCGGAAUUCCUGGUGUAGAGGUGAAAUUCGUAGAUAUCAGGAGGAACACCGGUGGCGAAGGCGGCUUUCUGGACGACAACUGACGCUGAGACGCGAAAGCGUGGGGAGCAAACAGG
rnacentral:rRNA from 1 species